GGUUGAAUGGCCGAGUGGUCUAAGGCGCUGGAAUUAGGUUCCUUCUAUCCAGUCCGCAAGGGCGUGGGUUCGAACCCCACUUCAAUCA